UGUAUUUCUCUGCAACACCUACUUUUUACAGAUAAAAACUGGGGAUGUGUCACCGUGGCAACCAAGAAAACAGCUUUAAAGGAAGUGCCAACGAUUGUGUCUUAACCCAGACUGUGUCCUGUUUCAUUCCUAACUCUAACCAAUGGUUUUUAAUACUAAAUUUAAUCAAAGCACACAUUUAAACGUUAAAAAAAUUAAUAAUACUUGUGAAGUGAUUUACUCGAGCUCCACCAUCAGCUCCUCCUGUGCCCGCAGCCUUCUCCAGCCUCCAACCAUGAACUGUUUCACCGUUUGAAAGUGGAAAAUCCUGAUUUCAUGAACAUGGAUUGUACAUAUGAGACCGGACGGAUUUAAAGUCAGGGUCAGACUGUCUUCCCGUCUCGGGCACACAGCUCUGGUUGCGAGCAGUGGCAUCCACCCACCUGCUGCUUGGGCCUCCUGUUUGAGAGGGGCGGCCUAUCAGAAGAACGUUGGUUUAAACUGUGAGGACAUAAACAGCUCACAUGAGAAAGAAGAUGAACUGAGAUUCCACGUCAAGUAUUUCUGUUUAUGCAUGAACGGCAUGCAUAUUUGCAUUAAAUCCUCUAGCAGAAAGCAGAGAAAUAGUAUGGAAAGAUUUCAUUACCCUCAUGUUCUCAGUUUACCUCUCACUCCUCAUGCUUCCCUCACACCCAAACACUUCUCUUUAUCCCUCCCUCCGCUCUCACAUCACAACCUGUCUGUGGAUGAAGUGACAGAGUGUGAACAAAAGAAAACAGCCUUCCACCGAGACCGAGAGAGAGACCCUCCUGUGCAAGAGAAGUAGGACAGGAAACGUGAGGACAGUGAACAUCUGCUUUCCACCCGAUGGAAAAGGACCUCCCUCUUCCUUCUCCUUUCCCCUUAUUACACAUUAUCAAACGAAAGAUAAGAAACACCCAAAAAUACAGGUGAGUUAUCAAAGCAACCUGGGCUGUGAGUAACACCCCAGCAGCUACAAGCUGAGCACCUCUGUGCCAAACCACACUGAUGCAGUAAUUCAUGAUAAAGGAGCCACAAAUAAGUAUUGAGUGUGUAAAUGAAAAUACUUUUUAGAAGUUAUAGAUAUAUUUAUAUCGAAUAAAAACAUGUCAAAAGUAUGGCCUGGGGACAAAAGUGAUCUGCCAAGAGUUCCACAACCCGACCUGCUGGGGGCUUUGCUAAAGGGCAGUAAAUCAGCUUAGAUGACAGUUUAGUUUUCUGUGAAUUUUACAGGAAAUCAUGGAGCAGACUGCCAGUACUUUUUCUAUCAUUUUACAGAUCUGUUUCGUAGACUAUAAACUCGUGGAGACAUGCUGAUGUGUCUCUAUUAUGGUCAUUUGUGCAGAUAAGUGCUUGACAAUAGGCAAUCUCGUACACACGCACACCUUCAUACACCACGUUACUUUUUGCAUAAUGCUCAGUAUUUUGCACCUUUCUAUUGUCUCGUGUCUGUGUCGUUCUGUUCUGUCUGCUGUUGCACAGUGUUUGUUUUGGGGGUUUUGCAAUUUUUGCACUUUGCACUUUAUGUAGUCCUGUGUAGAUUGUCUGUUAUAUGUCACAUGUAGCACCGCGGUCUUGGAGGAACGUUGUCUC
ensembl:lncRNA